CCUACGGGGGGCAGCAGUGAGGAAUAUUGGUCAAUGGUCGGGAGACUGAACCAGCCAAGCCGCGUGAGGGAUGAAGGUACAGAGUAUCGUAAACCUCUUUUGUCAGGGAACAAAGGCGGGGACGUGUCCCCGGAUGAGUGUACCUGAAGAAAAAGCAUCGGCUAAUUCCGUGCCAGCAGCCGCGGUAAUACGGAGGAUGCGAGCGUUAUCCGGAUUUAUUGGGUUUAAAGGGUGCGCAGGCGGUCUGUUAAGUCAGCGGUAAAAGCCCGGGGCUCAACCCCGGCCCGCCGUUGAAACUGGCAGUCUCGAGUUGGAGAGAAGUAUGCGGAAUGCGCGGUGUAGCGGUGAAAUGCAUAGAUAUCGCGCAGAACUCCGAUUGCGAAGGCAGCAUGCCGGCUCCACACUGACGCUGAGGCACGAAGGCGUGGGUAUCGAACAGGAUUAGAUACCCUGGUAGUC
rnacentral:rRNA from 1 species